rnacentral:tRNA from 1 species
UCCUAUCUGGGGUAACGGUUAGCCUGUAUGCCUCUCAUACCAAGAUCGCAUAAGACCGGAGUUCGACUCUCCGGAUAGGAA